rnacentral:pre_miRNA from 14 species
AUCUGCUGAAAGACCCCCGGAGCAGGGAGACUCUCACUCAAGUCUCGGGAUGAUGCGACCCCCCAAGAACUCACGUGAGUCC